rnacentral:rRNA from 1 species
UACGUAGGGGGCAAGCGUUGUCCGGAAUUAUUGGGCGUAAAGAGCGCGUAGGCGGUCCGAUAAGUCGGCUGUGAAAGUCCAGGGCUCAACCCUGGAAAGCCGGCCGAUACUGUCGGACUAGAGUCCGGAAGAGGCAAGUGGAAUUCCCGGUGUAGCGGUGAAAUGCGCAGAUAUCAGGAGGAACACCGGUGGCGAAGGCGGGUCUCUGGGCCGAUACUGACGCUGAGGAGCGAAAGCGUGGGGGAGCGAACAGG